rnacentral:rRNA from 1 species
GAGACCCACGCCAACAGUUGCCAGCUCGUCCUCCGGAAUGGUGGGGACACUGUUGGGACCGCCUCUGCUAAAGAGGAGGAAGGAAUGGGCAACGGUAGGUCAGCAUGCCCCGAAUUAUCCGGGCUACACGCGGGCUACAAUGGGUGGGACAAUGGGUAUCGACACCGAAAGGUGAAGGCAAUCUCCUAAACCCAUCCUUAGUUCGGAUUGUGGGCUGCAACUCGCCCACAUGAAGCUGGAAUCUGUAGUAAUCGUGUCUCAACAUGGCACGGUGAAUAU